ensembl:snoRNA Gm25826 small nucleolar RNA SNORA17
CCUGCCCCUAGAAGCCUUGCAAGUGUGGCUGCUGUGUCACAUGUGCAGUAGGUGGCAUAGAGGAGAGGGUUAUAUGUCUGUGCUCAGUGUGCUGACCUAUGAACAUUUGAAUGAUUAGUAGUCUAACUUU